CUAUUUUCCUCCUCAUGUGCCAAAGGACAUGGAACCAUCAUGCUUGGGUUUGAGAAGAUACUUACCAAGAGAAUGUGCAUUUGCAAAAUCUACUUGUGGAGCUACGGCGGACAAAUUAAGAUGUUGUUGAUUGGUUUAAGAAUGGUGGAUCUCUCAAUGAGUAUAGAAUUAUAGUUCGUAGCAAGAGAUAUUCAACAUGUCAAAAUUUUUUGAAUUUGGAUAUGGAUUUGUCAGUGAGCAAGUCUCUAGAACUUGGAGUUGAGCUACAGUGAAUGUUGUUAUUGGAGCUUGUAUGCAAAACGACAAUGGAUUGUUAGGAUUGGCGAGAUUUUAAUUUUUUUUUGCAGGAUCCUAUCAUUAUUGGAAAUAAAAGGUGCUUUUAUGGUGCUGGGUUUCAGUAGGAUCCCACUAACGGAGCA